GUUAAAUUUUACAUUAAAUCAAAGCUUACAAAAUGCAAAAUAAAAUACCUACAGUAUACAUUUCGGAAAUUUAUUGUUGUAUAGUUAAAAGUACGAAUCUUUCUACUAUUUUGCACUUUUGUACAAAAAAUAUAAAAAAAAUAAAAAUUUAAGAAUAUCGUGUUGUCAUGGCAACGCUUGAGCGCGAGCCUGCGUUCAGUGUUGAUCACUGCUGAAUACUUCAUGUUAAUUUAAUGUUUGGAAAAUAUUGGCGAGGGUUACUGCAUGCAUGUAUUUCUAGUAGACGUAUAUAAUGCAUGAGUCAAUGUAAACCCUGACCCCCCCCCCCCCACCCCGGGCCAAGGUGGGGGUUAAUAGGGGAUUGGUAGGGGUUUAGAUCAGGAAACACUCCCAAGAGGGUGGGGGAUUUGAAUCUUUUAGACUUUAUUUAUCCCCUGGGUAUGGGGAUUGGGCAGGGAUUAGUAAUGAGCCAGUUGUCGAUUUUUCAGCAGUUGUUCAUCUCAAGUGGCGUUUUAUCAUCUAGUGAAGCUUCGUGUGCUUUUGUGCUUUUCAACAUUUACAGGUGUUACGAAAGUCGCCGAACUGUGGAAUCGCAUCAAAAAUUCGUAUAUCGACCACUCCCACAAACGUCUACGACCGCAACUACAUAGUUUUGCAUGUUUACAAUUCUAAUUUUGAACAGCCAAUCAGGUUCUUGCUAACAAUUACGAUUAAACAUCGAUUGGCGGUUCAAAAUUAGAAUUGUAAACAUGCAAAACUAUGUAGGCGCGGUCGUAGACGUUUGUGGGAGUGGUCGAUAUACGAAUUUUUUAUGCGAUUCCACAGUUCGGUAACUUUCGUAAUAUGUAGAUUUUAUUUAAAUCGCCAAAUUUGUAAUGCAG